rnacentral:lncRNA from 1 species
NNUGACCUUGUCUUUCCAAAAGGGCCUGAUUGUGGCCGUUGAGCAUGCAUUGUACAUCUGCUUUCGAUAUUCCCCAUGGCAAGAACAAAGGCCCUUGAGAUAAAGGUGCAACUUCUCUUACCCUCCCAACGUUGGCAUUUCUUUAAGGAUUAAGCAUCUUUCCUUAGACUAGGAACUGAUUGCUUCUGGUGCCCGCCUGUGACCGCCCGGCUCAAGACAAUAGACUUGCUCCCUGCUACGCCCACCGCCUGUGACCACCCAGCUCAAGACAAUAGACUUGCCUCGUGCUACACCCUCCAGAGAUAGCAGACCACCACCUUCUGUGUCCAUCAAGCGCUGUGCCGACAGGGCAAUCUUGUGACUAUUGCGGGAGGGACAUUUCAAUCACAUGUGAAACACCCUCUUUGAGGGAAUAUAAUCACCCUGUGUACCCCUACUUCUUUGGAGUGCUCUGUUCCUUUGUGGAAAGGUUCUCCCGGGUUAUAACCCUCAGAUUUCAGCUCAGAAUAAACUCACCCAAAUUUUCAUUUAUAGAUUGCUUUUUUUUGUCGACACACCUGAGAACUGAAAUACACCCAUCUCACCUCUUGAGGUUCUCUUGUCUAAAUGGAAGAAAAUUGUUUCCACAAUUGUCUUGCCUUGCUCACAUUGUAUCUCUGACAUUACAUUUCCAAAGCCAAGUGCAAAUGGAAACUAGAAUCAGAGGAUUGCAAUCUUCAACUGAUCAAGGAAUCCGAGGACAGAACCAGGAAUAUUCCAAUCAGCUCAUAGAAGCAGCCUGCUGGCCUGCAGCUCACAAGGAAACCCACACACAGAAAGGGACCAUAUUCCCAGACUUGAGGUGUAGACUCACCCCACUGAGGCAGAACCUCUGGAGAGGGUCAGUCCCUGGGGAAGGAGGGUGGGGACCCCUGAGCAGCCACAGAAAUGAACUCUGGGAGCUCCACACACCCUGCCUCUCCUGUGAGCAUGGAAGCACUGCCUCCCCCAGGCUCCCACUCUCACACAUGGGGAAACUCUCAGCAGGAUUCAGUUUAAGCUUCUGAAGGAAAUGAACUCGAAAUUCAUGAACCCUUUGUCCACAGGAUGG